AAUACAAAUAGUAUUAAUAAAUAAUAUUUUUUGAACUUUGUAGAAAAUUCCUCGUCACAGUAGUAAUGACAGUAUGCAGUGGAAAAUCAUAUAUUUUGUUUACGUCUGUCGUCUGCACGAUAUGUGCAGCUGAAAAAUAUCGUCCGAUCAAGGAUUUGUAUAGUAAACUAUACAAAUCCUUGAUCAGAACACCGGUUUUCGUACAUCAUAUGAAUUUGUACUAUGCAUACAUUUUUGAAUGGAAAUUGUGACGUCACAAUGCAUUCUAAACAGCACGAAAAUCCAUAAUACGAGGUCGAGGAUAACAAUUAUUCAGCCCACCGAAAUCAUAAUGAUUGCAUAUUGAACAUAAUCUUAUGCACAGUCUUUACGAUUUAGAUCAAGACCGAUGCCAAAAGUGGCAGAUACAGGGGUGGGAUGUUGGAGAAAUAGCUAGAUAACAUCUAUACAGAAUGAAUAAAGAAAACAAAUUAUAUUAGCUACAUCUACUAGAAGAACUCAAUAAGCUAGCUUCAUACAUAAUCAUUGAUUUAGUUUCUUAGGAGAUUUUAACAGUAAUUGCUAAAACUUGAGAAUGACACUUUCAGAAAUUCAGAUAUAGCUUCAGUAUGCAUCAAUUGAAGUUGUUGAUUGACCAGUACAUCAUACAUAAGUAUCAUCAUCAUUUCAACAUGAAUACGUUACAAGCCUUGAAAGCCUGAAGAGGACAUACACACAAAUUGAAUAAACUUAUCACCACAAAACAAAUUUAAGACAAGACUAAUGCUCUCUCAAAAAAAUAUGAUUCAUAAUUCAAUGAGUGAAAAUUGAAAUGCAUACUAAAUGGUUGCAUUUGGAGUUCUGCACAUUUUUAGAUAUUAAUUCCUUUUCAUUAAUAGUUGUUUAUUAAACAUUGUUUUGUC